rnacentral:snRNA from 1 species
GGACAGGAGGGUGAUAUGACUGAGACAGGAUCACUGGAUUGGUGUGGUUGGCCAGAUGGGGUCUGCUUCCCUUCUAAUUUCCUUGUGCCUCCCUCCACAGCUUGACCCUGAGUGGAAGAAUGUAGUGUUUCCCAAGGCAAAGGGCCAUUCUUGGGGCCAGGGUAUAGAAGGAGAUACAACCCCCAGCUUGAAUCACAAAGCAGUCUCUUGCCCGCAAGACUUCAAGAGCCUCAAACUGGUCUCUCGGAAUCCACUCUGCAUCUUUCUAACUCAUCCUGCCCAGAGUUGCCAGCUUUG